ACUGACGCUCAUGCACGAAAGCGUGGGUAGCAAACAGGAUUAGAUACCCUGGUAGUCCACGCCCUAAACGAUGUCAACUAGGUGUUGGGAGGGUAAAACCUUUUAGUACCGGAGCUAACGCGUGAAGUUGACCGCCUGGGGAGUACGGCCGCAAGGUUAAAACUCAAAGGAAUUGACGGGGACCCGCACAAGCGGUGGAUGAUGUGGAUUAAUUCGAUGCAACGCGAAAAACCUUACCUACCCUUGACAUGUCCAGAAGCUCUUAAAGAUUUGAGUGUGCCCGAAAGGGAGCUGGAACACAGGUGCUGCAUGGCUGUCGUCAGCUCGUGUCGUGAGAUGUUGGGUUAAGUCCCGCAACGAGCGCAACCCUUGUCGUUAAUUGCCAUCAUUUAGUUGGGCACUUUAACGAGACUGCCGGUGACAAACCGGAGGAAGGUGGGGAUGACGUCAAGUCCUCAUGGCCCUUAUGGGUAGGGCUUCACACGUCAUACAAUGGUCGGUACAGAGGGUUGCCAAGCCGCGAGGUGGAGCCAAUCCCAGAAAGCCGAUCGUAGUCCGGAUUGCAGGCUGCAACUCGCCUGCAUGAAGUCGGAAUCGCUAGUAAUCGCGGAUCAGCAUGUCGCGGUGAAUACGUUCCCGGGUCUUGUAC
rnacentral:rRNA from 1 species